rnacentral:rRNA from 1 species
UACGUAGGGGGCAAGCGUUGUCCGGAAUCAUUGGGCGUAAAGAGCGUGUAGGCGGCCCGAUAAGUCCGUCGUGAAAGUCCAGGGCUCAACCCUGGGAUGCCGGUGGAAACUGUCGGGCUAGAGUCCGGAAGAGGCGAGUGGAAUUCCUGGUGUAGCGGUGAAAUGCGCAGAUAUCAGGAGGAACGCCGAUGGCGAAGGCAGCUCGCUGGGACGGUACUGACGCUGAGACGCGAAAGCGUGGGGAGCGAACAGG